rnacentral:rRNA from 1 species
AAUAUUGGACAAUGGUGGCAACCCUAAUCCAGCCAUUCCGCGUGUGUGAAGAAGGUCUUCGGAUUGUAAAGCACUUUAAGUUGGGAGGAAGGGCUUUAGGUUAAUACACUGAAGUUUUUACGUUACCAACAGAAUAAGCACAGGCUAACUCUGUUCCAGCAGCCUCGGUAAAACAGAGGGUUCAAGCGUUAAUCGGAAUUACUGGGCGUAAAGCGCGCGUAGGUGGUUCAGUAAAAUGGGUGUGAAAUCCCCGGGCUUAACCUGGGAACUGCUUUCAUAACUGCUGAGCUAGAGUACGGUAGAGGGUAGUGGAAUUUCCUGUGUAGCGGUGAAAUGCGUAGAUAUAGGAAGGAACACCAGUGGCGAAGGCGACUACCUGGACUGAUACUGACACUGAGGUGCGAAAGCGUGGGGAGCAAAC